rnacentral:rRNA from 1 species
AGUGGGGGUUGCUUAUACAUGCAAGUCGUACGCACUGGCCCAACUGAUUGAUGGUGCUUGCACCUGAUUGACGAUGGAUUACCAGUGAGUGGCGGACGGGUGAGUAACACGUAGGUAACCUGCCCCGGAGCGGGGGAUAACAUUUGGAAACAGAUGCUAAUACCGCAUAACAACAAAAGCCACAUGGCUUUUGUUUGAAAGAUGGCUUUGGCUAUCACUCUGGGAUGGACCUGCGGUGCAUUAGCUAGUUGGUAAGGUAACGGCUUACCAAGGCGAUGAUGCAUAGCCGAGUUGAGAGACUGAUCGGCCACAAUGGAACUGAGACACGGUCCAUACUCCUACGGGAGGCAGCAGUAGGGAAUCUUCCACAAUGGGCGCAAGCCUGAUGGAGCAACACCGCGUGAGUGAAGAAGGGUUUCGGCUCGUAAAGCUCUGUUGUUGGAGAAGAACGUGCGUGAGAGUAACUGUUCACGCAGUGACGGUAUCCAACCAGAAAGUCACGGCUAACUACGUGCCAGCAGCCGCGGUAAUACGUAGGUGGCAAGCGUUAUCCGGAUUUAUUGGGCGUAAAGCGAGCGCAGGCGGUUGCUUAGGUCUGAUGUGAAAGCCUUCGGCUUAACCGAAGAAGUGCAUCGGAAACCGGGCGACUUGAGUGCAGAAGAGGACAGUGGAACUCCAUGUGUAGCGGUGGAAUGCGUAGAUAUAUGGAAGAACACCAGUGGCGAAGGCGGCUGUCUGGUCUGCAACUGACGCUGAGGCUCGAAAGCAUGGGUAGCGAACAGGAUUAGAUACCCUGGUAGUCCAUGCCGUAAACGAUGAGUGCUAGGUGUUGGAGGGUUUCCGCCCUUCAGUGCCGGAGCUAACGCAUUAAGCACUCCGCCUGGGGAGUACGACCGCAAGGUUGAAACUCAAAGGAAUUGACGGGGGCCCGCACAAGCGGUGGAGCAUGUGGUUUAAUUCGAAGCUACGCGAAGAACCUUACCAGGUCUUGACAUCUUGCGCUAACCUUAGAGAUAAGGCGUUCCCUUCGGGGACGCAAUGACAGGUGGUGCAUGGUCGUCGUCAGCUCGUGUCGUGAGAUGUUGGGUUAAGUCCCGCAACGAGCGCAACCCUUGUUACUAGUUGCCAGCAUUAAGUUGGGCACUCUAGUGAGACUGCCGGUGACAAACCGGAGGAAGGUGGGGACGACGUCAGAUCAUCAUGCCCCUUAUGACCUGGGCUACACACGUGCUACAAUGGACGGUACAACGAGUCGCAAGCUCGCGAGAGUAAGCUAAUCUCUUAAAGCCGUUCUCAGUUCGGACUGUAGGCUGCAACUCGCCUACACGAAGUCGGAAUCGCUAGUAAUCGCGGAUCAGCAUGCCGCGGUGAAUACGUUCCCGGGCCUUGUACACACCGCCCGUCACACCAUGGGAGUUUGUAACGCCCAAAGUCGGUGGCCUAACCUUUAUGGAGGGG